UACGGGGGGGGCAAGCGUUGUUCGGAAUUACUGGGCGUAAAGGGUUUGUAGGUGGCCUGCUAAGUCAGACGUGAAAUCCCUCAGCUUAACUGGGGAACUGCGUCUGAGACUGGUAGGCUCGAGGACAGGAGAGGAACGCGGAAUUCCAGGUGUAGCGGUGAAAUGCGUAGAUAUCUGGAGGAACACCGGUGGCGAAGGCGGCGUUCUGGACUGUUUCUGACACUGAAAACGAAAGCCAGGGGAGCAAACGGG
rnacentral:rRNA from 1 species